rnacentral:misc_RNA from 1 species
GGAUUUAAUUAUUCAAUUCGCGCAAUACAUGAGGCAACCGUGGAUCCUAUAACCACCAAGAAACAGGGUGAGGAGGAACAACCGCCGCAGAACUGGAAUAUUAAAAUGCUUUACGAUGGAGAUUGCCCUCUUUGCAUGCGUGAGGUCAAUAUGCUUAGAGAGAGGAAUAAAAGCUAUGGCACUAUAAAGUUUGUUGAUAUAAGUGCAGAGGAUUACUCUGCAAAGGACAAUCAAGGCCUAGACUACGAAACUGUAAGUAACUCGACCAUUGGAUAUUAGCCCAAUGGCAUAUCCAAAUGAUGUUAAAUUGUUGGUGUUUUGUUUGGGAAUCUGCCCAUGCCCAGAUGCUAUCUGUAUCAAAAGGGGAUGAUAACUGCAUUUAAAAUAAAGGGUAGAAACCAAGUCCAUUACGGGUACUUAUCUUAAAAAUCCUACUUAUUGAUUCUGAUUACUUGAUAUUGUUUUAUGGGCUAGAUUUUUUAGUUUUCCUGUAAUCCAUGAUGCAUGACUGUCUACAUAUUAUUUCGAUGCUUAGCACACUUUAAAGCAACAUUUUAUUAUGUGUGCCUGGUGACAGUGACAAGUGUAGUUCAUUUUGUAGGUUAUGGGAAGAAUUCAUGCAAUCCUUUCUGAUGGAACUGUGGUCACAGAUGUUGAAGUACGCCUCCACUCUUAACCUUUAUUAAGUCUUGAUUUCAGAUUACUAGCACUGUUGCUAUGCCCUUCUUAAUGUAUCUUACUAAUUGUUUCCUUGAAUCUUGCUGCUAUAAGAUAUUUGGAUUUUAUGAAGUUAGUGGAUGAUUAAGUAAAGUGUAAAAGCUAAACAUCAGCUAUUGAUAUCAAUAUCAGAGGUUAAAUUCUAGGACUAGGUAUCCCUGAACAAUCAACUGAGGCCAGUUGAAUAAUUCAAAAUUUUCUUAUAUUGGAUAUGGAUAUCACUCUUUUGAAUAACUAACACAGGUCUCAAUGUGCUGCUUCCAGGCAGUGAAUUGGGUCCUUUUGGCCAUGUAGCAUAUAAAAUUAUCUGACAAGACAAAUUAGUUGAACCAAACAAUAUCUAAUCGGGCGAAAUUCUUAUACUGAUUAAAUAAAUUCUUGCUGUCACUGUUGCUGUUCUAUAAAAGAUGCUCAGUUAAGAUUUUAGUGACAUUAUCGUAGCAACAGGAUUUUGCUCUUAAUAAUCUGUAGAUUUCAAAGACCAUAUAAGUUGAGCUAUUUCCAGAAUAAACUAAUGUUAUUGACAACUACAGGCAUUCAGAAGAUUAUAUGAACAAGUUGGUCUUGGAUGGGUUUAUGCCAUUACUAAAUAUGAACCUGUAAGUACCACAUAACUGCCUGUUGAUUCCCUUUGCAAAGUUGUGCUUUUUUCUUCACUUGACUUCUAUUAAUGACAACAUCAUGCUAUUUUUAGGUUGCAACAAUAGCUGAUGCUGUGUACAGAGUUUGGGCUAAAUAUCGUCUUCAAAUUACAGGUAAAUGCAGUACUUCUUAACACGAUUCAUGGCUACUAGAAUUCGGAGAUGUUUUUCUCAGUUUAAGACUUCAGUUGUUUAAUGUCAAUGGUGUGUUUUGGUUGUAGGCCGACCAUCUUUAGAAGAAAUAUUGGAUGCAAGAAAAAAGAAGGUAAUAAGCAAGUGCAACUGGAUAGAUUUCCUUGUUUCUGCCAUCUAACGUUGUAGUUUUGAGUUUUGACAAGAUUAAACAGAAUCUUAAAAUAACAGACACACUCAAAGAUGGUAGUAAAUUUAAUACUCGAACCAUGGAUGUUUCUGUCAAGCGGAAAUGCUUAGAUGUUCAGAUAUGAAAGGUAUUUGGUGUUGAUUCACACAUGGCUUCAUGUUUCCCUUGUAGGGUGAAGUUUGUAAUGAUGGCAGUGCUUGUAAGAUGUAAGCUCGCUUCAAAGAUCCAGCGAUCAUGAUUUUGACAGAAUUUUUAUAUUAUAUAAACAUUUAUUAUAUCAUGUUCUGAAUUUGGCCUUCAGCUUAUAUUCCAGAAGUGGCCACAAUUUAAGAAGAAAUGUGUUUUGCUCUCUGAUAGUCGAGAAUAUUCUUGACAAUCUCUCUUACUUAUUAUGAUGUAAUAUGAUAUGUUAAAUGCAAAUUAAAUUUCAAACUCUUGUAUAUCGUCCUUGCAUGUAUGAUCAUCAAAGUAUCUAGUAAAAUAAUGUCAUUACAAUUAUAGAUGAACAAGAAGAAGAAGAAACCUCUCAAGCCCAACCCCAUCGUUGUUUACACGGGAAAUUUUUUCGGCUAUUCAGCGCUGAAAAGUUCUUAGCACUGGAAAAUUCUUUUGUCAUUCAGCUCUGAAUCUCAUGCAACGCUUGAUAGAGAAGAACCAUCUCAGAACCAUUCAUCCUCGAGCGUAAACCACGUUUUUCAUUCAAGAAAACAAAGUAAUGUUUCCUAUGGAAAAGUUUCCUCGUCUUUCACUGCCCGUAUAAAUGAAAAGGAAAAGUUUCCUGUCGUGAGUGAAGGACAGAGGAAAAGUUUCCUCUCUGAUUUUAAACACUAGCUCCACGAUUUGACUCAUCGUUCUCGUCUCUUUUCCCAUAACCACUGUUUUUCAAUCUCUCGGCUCAUAUGCUACCACCAACUUCUUUUCAGUUUCUCUCCUAAACUCUGCAU